UGACUCCUGUCUGUAUUGCACCCUGCUCACUUGUCUACUGCCUCGCCUCCAGCAUCAUCACAACUCUGCUUCACGGCUUCCCUGCCUCAUAGUAUCAUAGAGUUGGAAGAGACCUCAAGGAGCAUCACUUAGACUGGGGUGGCCAACUUGCAGCAUGCAUGUCGCAAGCGGCACAGGCAGAGUCUGGGCAUGGCACAUGGCAGACCAGGGAGAGAACAGGCAACACAGCAGCAGAUGGGGUAGAAAGCAGGUUGGACAAGGAGCACAGGGCAGGGAGCAGAAAGCAGAACAACAGAUUGAGCAGGGGAAGGGGUUUGGUGUGGCACUCAGGGAGGCUACAGGACUAGUUCAUGGUAUACCUGCCAAAAAAGUUGGCUCCCACUGAUCUAGUCCAACAGCCUGCACAAAUGUCUAUCCAGCCUCUUGGAAACGUCCAGUGAAGGUUUCCCUGGGCAACCUGUUCCAUUGUCCUACUGUUCUGAUGGGAAGUUUCUUUCUAAGAUGUCAUCUGAAUCUACUGCAGUUUAAACCCAUAAGAUCUUAUCAGUUCACUGGGCCCCUUUUGCUCCUGUCGCCAUGCUGACUUGUGGGGGUGACUGGGCUUGGGGCAUCAGGGCUGCUGUAUUCUUUGGCCUCGCAAUCAGCACUUCUUACUUCUUGAGGACGUGCUCCCUUGCAGCCCACACUCACUGAAACAAGCACCACCUGGUCCUGCAUCUCAGGAGAUGGUUGCAAAGCACAGCAUCACACUCUGCCUCUCAGGUUGUUAUAGUGCUAUGGGCAGAAGGCAGCACACCCACACCUCCUGUUUCAAACACCCCACCCCCUCUUUAUGGUGGCAAUCAGUUCAUGAGAGCAUCAUUUAUGGUCUGGGAUAUGCUGAGCCCCCAGCUUCUGGCCAGCACAGCAGAGGGAUGAACAGUCUUACCCAGGUGCUCAGUACAUGGGUUUCUUUUUCUCCACUGGAACAGGUGGAGGGUGCAUCAGUGAGGUCCAAAGGCAGGGUCCAAGUGAGGGAAAUUCAUGGGGGGCCCAAAUCCUACAUUCCUGGUAGAUGUAAAAUGUCUGCUGGCUUUGACGGGUGUUUGGGCUGACAAAGGAAUCCAGUCUAUGCCCCAGGGCAAGGAUACAAGCCUUGUCCCCAAUGGGACAUGUAGCUCCCCAAGGUUGCAGUUCUGCCAGUGGCUGCAAUGGUGGCAGGUUGUAGUGUAGCCAAGGCUCAGGCAUUAUUUUUAACACUGCAUACAUUACAUACAGCAGUGAAAUGCAUACCCAGUAAAACAAACCUUGCAUUGUUCCUGCCCUGAAAGAACAAGCUGAGUGACACAAGGCUGCAGCUGGUCCCUCCAGCAUCGCAUCAUCUUUUGCAUUAGCUGGCAGGAUAGUAAGCUCAUUGAUGCUGGGCAAUUUUUUCCACGCACGCAUUAGGGUAAUCAAUUAAGUUUCUCAGCAGCUUCCUCCAGCAUUCAAGCUUAGGUGUGUGUGGAAAGAAUUUGUUAUUCUAGGCACUGCUGGGAAAGCAUGAACUGUGCUGAAGGAAAAUUGGUCGCGCUUUUCAAGCACUGAUAUUUCUCUUACCAGCUUAGCUACCUGGUUUCCCCCUUCAUCUCCUUUGGACUCCCCAAGUCACCUGGAGGUCCAGCCCUCUACCCCCAUCAUAUUCCUGUUUAACAGGGGAUGCUUCCUGAAAUAUUUAAUCAGUGCUGGGUUGCAGCUAGGCAGUUUUGGUGCUGGGGGUCAGGGUCACUGAAUGUCCCACCUGAAGGACUAGAGCUUUGUAUGUCAUGAUGGGGUCUUCUACGUAGUGGUGAGGUUGAAUGUUGCCUUGCUACCAGUUAGCUCUCUGCUCUCUUUCUUGUUCUGUCCUGCUGAUAGGGAUCGUUGCAUGCCUCCCCCCUGAGCCAUAUCCAGAAGUGGAUGACAUGGAGUGGCCUCAGCUUACUUGGGGACAACGGGAGUAGGACUGGUUCCAGGAGUCUGCAAAGGGCAGGUUUCAGAAGAGUGUCCUGGCACAUGCAAAAUUACCAAGAUCAGAAAUGGCAGCUGUUUGAAGUAUAUGCUGCUGCCCGGAGACACUCCUCAAUCCUCGACUCUUUGACAAGCUGGAAUGUGAAGCGGAAGCAAAAGGAUCCCAGACACAGAGGAAGAUACGAUAAAGCAGAGGUAUGUCAGAGAAAACAGUCUGAGGCAGAUCUGAUAAAGAAUUUAAGCCAAGGACACCUUGCUUGCAGAUCUUGUGGUGAGGAGGAAGGCAGAUCCUAAGCUGCCCGCACAGAAAUCUCACGCAUAUGUCUGCCCCAUCAUUACAAAUACCGUGGGGAUUCCUAACCUCAUUCGUUAAGAUUGGUAGGGAGCUGGUGGAAGCAGUAGAGCCACAACUGCAUGAAGGUCUGAAGUGAAACCCUCUCCUCAUGAGACCGUGUGCCAAGGACACCAAAGCUAAUGGACUGCA